rnacentral:tRNA from 1 species
UGGCCGAGUGGUCUAAGGCGCUGGCUUUAGGCGCCAGUCCGAAAGGGCGUGGGUUCGAACCCCAC